AAAAUUGUAAAAGAAAAUACAAAUGAAAAAAAUAAUAAUAAUUUGAAAGAACUCGAGUUCUAUUAUCGAGUGAAAUAAAUUUUUUUUUCAGACUUUACUUAUGAUAUGGUUAAAUUCCGAAUUAACUAUGUCUCUUUCCAGUAGAAAUCGGAGGAAUUUUUUUGAAAAAGAAUAGUAAGAAAUAUAAAUGGAUAUAUACUCCAUCCGUCCCUUUUUAUAAGACCUAGUUUGACAAAACACGGAUAUUAAAAAAAUUGAUUUUAAUAUUAAAUUGGUUGACAAAUUAUAUUGAUUUUUCAUUUUUAUCCUUAAUAAUGAUUUUGUUAUAAUUAAUUGUAGUGCUUGUAGAGAAAGAGAAUAAGUGGAAGAAUUUAAUGUUGUUCAAAAAAAAUUGUAAAGGAAAUAAGCAUAAUUUUGAAAAAAUAUAUAAUUAAUAUAAUUGAUAAUUGCAUACUGUUCUUAUAGAAAGGGACAAAUCUUUUAUCAAAUUAGGUCUUAUAGAAAGGGACGGACGAGAAUUAAAAAAAAAAAAAAGGGGGACGGAGAGAGUAUUCUCUUAUGUUUAUGUUGAAAUGAAAAUAUGAAUUAUUAGAAGUAAAGAAUGCCUUGAUUUUCCUAAUUAUUUAUUCAAGCAUAUAUUCAUUGAGAUUAAUUAGUGUAAAUUUUUUAUACAUACAUCUAUUUAAAUCACAAUAUUCAUAUAUAUAUUUAAAGAGAUAUUUUAGGGACCAAGAUUAAUUAGUACAAUUUAAGUAGAUGCAUGUGUAAAAAUAUUUUACACUACUAAGAGUACACAAAUUAAAUCUAUAUUCAUUUUUUGUUACUAUUUUGAUUUUACUUGUUUACUGAUAGUGUUUAUUUUUUGUUUUUCUUGAUACAUGCAGCCUAGCUGCUUUGUGUUGUUGUUGCCUCUUGGACGAGUGCUGCUGUGACCCAACUAUUAUUUUUGCGAGCUAAUAUAAUACAUUUCACUAAACUGGGAAAUUAAGACGCUAUUGUACUUGUAACGAUAUUUAUUUUAUUUUUUUUAACUUUUUAAAUUACAUCGUUUGUGUGGAUAUGUCCUAUCAUGAAUUGUAUGAGUAAAUAACCAAUAUUUGCUAUUAUAUAUGAUAUGAUAUGAUAUUGUACAUUUGUUAAUAAAAUGGAAUUCCCCUUAUUAUCUCA
rnacentral:lncRNA from 1 species